rnacentral:rRNA from 1 species
CCUACGGGGGGCUGCAGUGGGGAAUAUUGGGCAAUGGACGCAAGUCUGAACCAGCCAUGCCGCGUGCAGGAAGACGGCUCUAUGAGUUGUAAACUGCUUUUGUACGAGGGUAAACGCAGAUACGCGUAUCUGUCUGAAAGUAUCGUACGAAUAAGGAUCGGCUAACUCCGUGCCAGCAGCCGCGGUAAUACGGAGGAUUCAAGCGUUAUCCGGAUUUAUUGGGUUUAAAGGGUGCGUAGGCGGUCGGAUAAGUUAGAGGUGAAAUCCCGGGGCUCAACUUCGGAAUUGCGUCUGAUACUGUUCGGCUAGAGAGUAGGUGCGGUAGGCGGAAUGUAUGGUGUAGCGGGGAAAUGCAUAGAUAUCGCGCAGAACUCCGAUUGCGAAGGCAGCAUGCCGGCUCCACACUGACGCUGAGGCACGAAGGCGUGGGUAUCGAACAGGAUUAGAUACCCUAGUAGUC